rnacentral:rRNA from 1 species
AUUGAACGCUGGCGGCAGGCUUAACACAUGCAAGUCGAGCGGGGUGAUGGUGCUUGCACUAUCACUUAGCGGCGGACGGGUGAGUAAUGCUUAGGAAUCUGCCUAUUAGUGGGGGACAACAUCUCGAAAGGGAUGCUAAUACCGCAUACGUCCUACGGGAGAAAGCAGGGGAUCACUUGUGACCUUGCGCUAAUAGAUGAGCCUAAGUCGGAUUAGCUAGUUGGGGGGGUAAAGGCCUACCAAGGCGACGAUCUGUAGCGGGUCUGAGAGGAUGAUCCGCACCGCUUGGACUGAGACACGCCCCAGACUCCUACGGGAGGAAGCAGUGGGGAAUAUUGGACAAUGGGGGGAACCCUGAUCCAGCCAUGCCGCGUGUGUGAAGAAGGCCUUAUGGUUGUAAAGCACUUUAAGCGAGGAGGAGGCUCUUUUGGUUAAUACCCAAGAUGAGUGGACGUUACUCGCAGAAUAAGCACCGGCUAACUCUGUGCCAGCCGCCGCAGUAA